GUGGGCGUAGCUCAAUUGGUUAAGAGCGUUAGACUGUGGCUCUAAAGGUUGCGGGAUCGUUCCCCGUCGCCCACCCCA
rnacentral:tRNA from 1 species